rnacentral:rRNA from 1 species
CAGUCGACGGUGACGAGCAGCUUGCUGCUCUGAUCAGUGGCGAACGGGUGAGUAACACGUGAGCAACCUACCCUUGACUCCGGGAUAACAGCUGGAAACAGCUGCUAAUACCGGAUACGACCUCGACCGACAUCAGUUGAGGUGGAAAGUUCUGGCGGUCAAGGAUGGGCUCGCGGCCUAUCAGCUAGUUGGUGAGGUAACGGCUCACCAAGGCUUCGACGGGUAGCCGGCCUGAGAGGGCGACCGGCCACACUGGGACUGAGAUACGGCCCAGACUCCUACGGGAGGCAGCAGUGGGGAAUAUUGCACAAUGGGCGAAAGCCUGAUGCAGCAACGCCGCGUGCGGGAUGACGGCCUUCGGGUUGUAAACCGCUUUCAGCUCCGACGAAGCGCAAGUGACGGUAGGAGCAGAAGAAGGACCGGCCAACUACGUGCCAGCAGCCGCGGUGAUACGUAGGGUCCGAGCGUUGUCCGGAAUUAUUGGGCGUAAAGGGCUUGUAGGCGGUUUGUCGCGUCGGAAGUGAAAACUCAGGGCUUAACCCUGAGCCUGCUUCCGAUACGGGCAAACUAGAGGAAUGCAGGGGAGAAUGGAAUUCCUGGUGGAGCGGUGGAAUGCGCAGAUAUCAGGAGGAACACCAGUGGCGAAGGCGGUUCUCUGGGCAUUUCCUGACGCUGAGAAGCGAAAGCGUGGGGAGCAAACAGGCUUAGAUACCCUGGUAGUCCACGCCGUAAACGGUGGGCACUAGGUGUGGGACUCAUUCCACGAGUUCCGUGCCGUAGCUAACGCAUUAAGUGCCCCGCCUGGGGAGUACGGCCGCAAGGCUAAAACUCAAAGGAAUUGACGGGGGCCCGCACAAGCGGCGGAGCAUGCGGAUUAAUUCGAUGCAACGCGAAGAACCUUACCUAGGUUUGACAUAUACCGGGAAAGCUGCAGAGAUGUAGCCCCCGCAAGGUCGGUAUACAGGGGGGUGCAUGGCUUGUCGUCAGCUCCGUGUCGUGGAGAUGUUGGGGUUAAGUCCCCGCA